GUGAGGAAUAUUGGUCAAUGGGCGAGAGCCUGAACCAGCCAAGUCGCGUGAAGGAAGAAGGAUCUAUGGUUCGUAAACUUCUUUUGUAGGGGAAUAAAGUGCAGGACGUGUCCUGUUUUGUAUGUACCCUGAGAAUAAGGAUCGGCUAACUCCGUGCCAGCAGCCGCGGUAAUACGGAGGAUCCGAGCGUUAUCCGGAUUUAUUGGGUUUAAAGGGUGCGUAGGUGGUUUGAUAAGUCAGCGGUGAAAGUUUGCAGCUUAACUGUAAAAAUGCCGUUGAAACUGUCGGACUUGAGUGUAAAUGAGGUAGGCGGAAUGCGUGGUGUAGCGGUGAAAUGCAUAGAUAUCACGCAGAACUCCGAUUGCGAAGGCAGCUUACUAAGCUACAACUGACACUGAAGCACGAAAGCGUGGGGAUCAAACAGGAUUAGAUACCCUAGUAGUCC
rnacentral:rRNA from 1 species